rnacentral:rRNA from 1 species
GACGAACGCUGGCGGCGUGCUUAACACAUGCAAGUCGAACGGAAAGGCCCUGCUUUUGUGGGGUGCUCGAGUGGCGAACGGGUGAGUAACACGUGAGUAACCUGCCCUUGACUUUGGGAUAACUUCAGGAAACUGGGGCUAAUACCGGAUAGGAGCUCCUGCUGCAUGGUGGGGGUUGGAGAGUUUCGGCGGUUGGGGAUGGACUCGCGGCUUAUCAGCUUGUUGGUGGGGUAGUGGCUUACCAAGGCUUUGACGGGUAGCCGGCCUGAGAGGGUGACCGGCCACAUUGGGACUGAGAUACGGCCCAGACUCCUACGGGAGGCAGCAGUGGGGAAUAUUGCACAAUGGGCGGAAGCCUGAUGCAGCAACGCCGCGUGCGGGAUGACGGCCUUCGGGUUGUAAACCGCUUUCGCCUGUGACGAAGCGUGAGUGACGGUAAUGGGUAAAGAAGCACCGGCUAACUACGUGCCAGCAGCCGCGGUGAUACGUAGGGUGCGAGCGUUGUCCGGAUUUAUUGGGCGUAAAGGGCUCGUAGGUGGUUGAUCGCGUCGGAAGUGUAAUCUUGGGGCUUAACCCUGAGCGUGCUUUCGAUACGGGUUGACUUGAGGAAGGUAGGGGAGAAUGGAAUUCCUGGUGGAGCGGUGGAAUGCGCAGAUAUCAGGAGGAACACCAGUGGCGAAGGCGGUUCUCUGGGCCUUUCCUGACGCUGAGGAGCGAAAGCGUGGGGAGCGAACAGGCUUAGAUACCCUGGUAGUCCACGCUGUAAACGGUGGGUACUAGGUGUGGGGUCCAUUCCACGGGUUCCGUGCCGUAGCUAACGCUUUAAGUACCCCGCCUGGGGAGUACGGCCGCAAGGCUAAAACUCAAAGGAAUUGACGGGGCCCCGCACAAGCGGCGGAGCAUGCGGAUUAAUUCGAUGCAACGCGUAGAACCUUACCUGGGUUUGACAUGGAUCGGGAGUGCUCAGAGAUGGGUGUGCCUCUUUUGGGGUCGGUUCACAGGUGGUGCAUGGCUGUCGUCAGCUCGUGUCGUGAGAUGUUGGGUUAAGUCCCGCAACGAGCGCAACCCUUGUUCACUGUUGCCAGCACGUUAUGGUGGGGACUCAGUGGAGACCGCCGGGGUCAACUCGGAGGAAGGUGGGGAUGACGUCAAGUCAUCAUGCCCCUUAUGUCCAGGGCUUCACGCAUGCUACAAUGGCUGGUACAGAGAGUGGCGAGCCUGUGAGGGUGAGCGAAUCUCGGAAAGCCGGUCUCAGUUCGGAUUGGGGUCUGCAACUCGACCUCAUGAAGUCGGAGUCGCUAGUAAUCGCAGAUCAGCAACGCUGCGGUGAAAACGUUCCCGGG